CCCUCAAUGGUCACCUUUUCAUUGCUUGACAUCGACUAAAUUAACAUAAAAAGAACAAAGAAACAAAAUUAUAUGAUGGAAUCAAACUGUAGGGAUACCUUAUCUAUUUUUCAAAAGAUAAGGACCUAAGUAACAAUUAUAGCAUUUCACAAUACCGUGAAAAAGUAAUUUACCCCAUUAAUUUACCACUGGACAGAAGGCAUUCAAGAUUCAACUUGGAACAGCCCCACCAAUACUGUCAUUAGAGUUGAUGUUACACAAGAAAAACAAGUAACCUUAAAGAGUAUUGCUGAUCAUAUCUUUUUUUUUUUUUUUCUUUAUGCACUUUUCUUUACCUAUAAAUCAAAUGAAAGUAAGAAUUCAAAAGCACAUCAUUCUUGCCUAACAAAUGGUGAUGAGCUCAAGUCAGUACUGUAAAAUGAGUCCUCAGCUCCACCAUAGUAAUUAUCAUCUUUCUCCUCAUCCCACUUGAGAACUUCCCUUAUGUACUUAAAUGCCUCGUCAAUGGUCACACGGUCUCUAGCCCUAGCUUGCCACACGAAAAGCUUACAACCUGUGAGGGAUGCAUAGAGAUCUUUGAACUUCAUUGCAACAUAGUAGUAUGCCUGGUGAGCAAGUGUCUGAUUGUUGUGGUGCGGUCGCACAGGACUGAAAUCAUUGAACCACUCACAAGAACUUAGAUGUAUCCGAUUAACCUUCUCUUCAAAGAGAUCAUAUUUGUUAAGUAUCAAGACAAAAGGAGUGUCCUUGAAGCAAGGGUGCCUGAUCAUAGCCUCAAACAGCUCCUUGCUUUGCAUCAUCUUGUUCUGAAGUAGCGAUCCACUGCCACCACUCUCCGGUGCAAGACACAUCUGAUCAUAGUCACUGAGGGCAACACAGAACACUACUACACUGACAUCUUCAAACAUUUCCACCCAUUUGCAACCCUCAUUCAUCCCCUUUGCAUUUACCCUAAUAAGUUGGUAUUUUGUAAGAGGUGGGGGUGGAGCUUCCAUAUUAUCUGUGUAUGUUUCAGACAUUGGGCUGCAAUCAUCAAGGGAAAAUUCUAUGAAAGCCAAACCAUUCCCUUUGGUGACCCCUUCUGCAUAGAUGAUAUCACGUUCAGAAGGUUCAUAUUCGUUGCUGGAGACCUCAACCGCCCGACUUAAGAAGUACUCCGCAACAUCUGGAAGAAAGUGAAGCUCAUCUUUUCUUCUAUAUGUUGCCUGUAUUGCAGGAUCCCUCCACACUUCUUCAACCAAUGGAGCAUAUUCACGCGUUGCAGCAGGGAAAAAUGCAUCCAAAUCUCCUGUAGCUAUGAUGUCUAGCAGCCAAUCAGAAAAAUGCUUCAAUCUUGGGUUGAUGGAAUAGAUACACUGACUAGUUUCACUAGGAUCGAGCUCUUCACCUAAUUCCUUCAUUCUAUACAAUGCCUCCUCCUCAAAGCGUUCCCGUCCAUCAAGCAAAAGGCUAAGAUAUCUAUACAUAUUACUCUGGAUCAUCAACUUGAUAUCCUGCAGUUCCUCUGCAAUAAACUUGUUUCCAUACAAAAAUUUGGCCUGCUUGAAGAUAGUGCUGGUUCCAGAGCCUUGAAGGCCAAGCAGAAGAAGUUUCUGUACUCUUUUCUGCUCUAGAUAAUUUGGAACCGUAGUAUAAUUACUAGCCUCAUCUCUCUGUGCAAGUGGUUGACCAUGGGGGACGGGCAAAGAGAAAAGAGCACAAACCAACCGCGUUGAUGCCUGUCUAGGAGAGACCAAAUCCACAAUAUUUCAUGCAGAAACUAUGAUUUUAAUUGGUCUCUAUUAAAUUUCUAGUGAGUUUUACAGUACAUACCUUCUCCCAAAUGUUUCCCCUGAUAUUAUUCUGGCCUUCCUCUUCAUAACGACCAUCGUCAUAUACCCAAAAAUGAGUAUCACGUGGACACUGCACAUUUGCUAGUUUUAACACCCUCAGUUCAAGUUUGGUUAUUUCCCGGCCAUUAAUAUAAACUUCAGUGCUUCCAUUGCUUGCAUCUGGCAUGAGUUUCCCAGUAAAACUUAAGUUUGAACUGAUGAGUUUAUCUGGCUUUUCCCCCUCCUUUCCCCAGAAACCAGAUUCCUUAUCAUACCAAAAUCUACCUGGCUUCAGCUUUCGUGGAGGUAAGGGACAUCCAAGUAAUUCUGCCAUCUCUUCUGGCUUCAGAGGGAAUCCAUUGACAAUUAGUUGCUCUGGUCGAAGUUGAUUAGCAGAGCAUUCUUUCUCUGCUUUCAUUAUCUGCUUAACUUCCAAAGGACUGAGCAAUCGAGAUAAGACCCUGGAAUGUUUACCUAACUUCAACCGCUUUGAUUCAUCAAUUGCUUGACCAAUGCAAGUCACACAUUUACGGCCUUCAGGCAUUGAUCCCAUAGCUCUAAGUAUGCAAUUGCUACAAUACUUAGCAUCACAAACCACGCAUGAUUCUUUGGUUUCCCACUUACCUUUUCCACACCUGUAACAGACUCUACUCUUUUUCUUCUUCUUUCCUUUGGAAACCCCAACAUACUCCGGAUAAAUUGGCUUCACCACAUCAAUAUCUUUCUUCUCAGAUCUAUCAACAGUAUUAAAUGUAACAACAGGUACUCUCUUCCCUUCAUUGACCACUUGUUUUGGAGGAUGAUUAGGAGGAAUGUGGACAGACCCUGGUGAAGCUGAAGCUGAAGCCGAAGAAAAAUCUGGGUUUUGCAAGACAGACACUACUGACUCCGAACUUGCUGAUACUCUAGGGCUUUGAUUAGGUGAAAUUGUGACACCAGCUAUACGAGACACAGGCAAAGGUAUUGGUUCAAUUACUGGAGGACCAAGAUUUGCAGCCGAUCUUUGUGACUCCGAAAGUGGUUCGGCUGUUGGAAUUGCAUGAGAACUUACAUCAAGGGGUUCAACUUUAGGAACCCUGUAAGGGACUGGAGGGCCUUGAUACUCAAUCGCUAUAGAGUAAUCAAGCUUAGUAUCAUCUUCAGGGAGAGAAGCACCUAGAGGAAGCAUCUUUCUCGCCAAUUCUCUCCAGCUCUCUCCUUCUCUUUGCUCCAUUCUUUCCUCAAUAACACCAAAUAACUAUAUCUUCAACUACAGCAGCAAACUAAUAGCUUCUCAAGUAUCCAUCAUAUCCCAAAUCAUGAGAGUAACUCCAAGAAUAAUCCAAGAAAUUGAAUGGAUAUUCUAGACGAUACACCCUGUGGACUUGCUAGCAAAACCAGAAAUAAUCAAAUGAAGCAGCCGCAAUCAAUAGUCACGCACCAUGGGUCAUCCUUUGAAAGCCUUCAAAUUUGAAAAAGAACAGAAGAAAAAAAAAUAAUAUAAAAACCCUAAGAAAGAAUUCAACCCAAAUUUAAUAAUUGAUUCAAUGACCCAGGACAACUUGUAAAGCAAAAAAGUGCACAUCAACCAUCUAAGAGUGAAUCCUACAGAAGUCAAACAAGAACAUUCAAGUUGAAAUGUAGCAAAAUUCAACUCUUACAUAGGCCAAGCAUGACUUUUCAACUAAAUCACCAAAAAUAAAAUCAAUUUGCAGUGAAAAUCAAAUAACCCACCACAAAUCUUACUUUCAUUUUCUCAAUUUAAGCCUUUAAUUCAUUCAAAGGGCCAUUUGCACUAGUCUCCAUUUGCAAAUGGUCAAAAAUACAAAUGAAAACCCUAGAAAACAUUCACCCAUAAUUGACCCAUUCAAAUCAAAACCAUUAAAGAAUCCAAAAAGGUAAAUUAAAAAAAAAAGUUUUAAAAAAAUAUACUUUACCACAAAAAUUUUUCAACUUUCUCAACAGAUAAUAGAACACAGAUAUAGAUACUAUUAGAAAAAGAGAAGGAGAGACCUGAGGAAAAGG
rnacentral:misc_RNA from 1 species